rnacentral:lncRNA from 1 species
CAGAAGGAAAGAAGACAAACUGAAGGACUGAUACGUUUAGAUCUGACUUAAUGAUGGGCUGUAGUUUCAGACCCCAGAUUCCCAUCGGAUGGUACUGUCUCCUACUCGACUACUUUAGUUUAAAGGAGAGUCAGAAUGAAGUGGCAGAGAUACAUCAGCUCUCUUCUCAUCCUAAUUUCCUGAAUGACUGAACUCUGGGCUUGAACUCGAUUGAAGGAUGACCAACAAGCAAGAAUAAACAAUAAAAACUUAUGACUCCCUAAUUUCUGUAGCUAUCGAAAAAUAUCUCUAAGCCAGGAACUGAUUUAUCUUGCCGGUACAUAUCUCAAAAGACGUUCUGUCACAACACAGAUGUUUCAGGUCAUGACACACAGACCUUACACCUCCACAGAUUGUGUCCUUCUGCUAUUCCUCAGUAAAGUAAAGGUGAGAAAUUUUUGCACUGUUGGGUUUACAUUCAGUCAAUGGGAUACAGUACCAACAGUGUGCCUGUAGGAAAAAAGUGUUCUUGCACCCUAACAUAGGCAUCAUUCACCAUCACAAAUCUGAAGCCAAAAGCUGUCAUUUGCAGUGGUGCUUGGAUAGUAGUAUGUGUGGAUCAGGAUAAUUACAGAAUAAUACUGACAAACAUCCUACUUCAAAUCCUAGCUUCAAGCCUUGGAGAGACUACCAGAACCAGUAGCUGGAGCACUUGUUCUGUCACUGCUGACAAACACCGAGAGCAGGAUCACUAAGUGAUUCCACACUCCCUAGCAUCUAUUUAGGCCAUGUCUUCAGACCCUUUGAGGAAUUCCAGACUGGAUUCUGACCUGAAGGCUCAGAGGAGCUGGAGUUAAGUUACAACCUCUCUUCAUUAUUCUCUCUUGACUCAAUUUACUAGUACUACUCUGCUUUAUGUACAAGUAGCCUUCAA